AAGGCAGCAGGCGCGCAACUUCCCUAAUCUCGAUUCGAGGAGGUAGUGACAAGAAAAUACCGAUGCGGGACCCUACGGGUGCCGCGUUCGGAAUGAGUACGAUUCGAACCACCUAACGAGGAACGAUCGGAGGGCAAGUCUGGUGCCAGCAGCCGCGGUAAUUCCAGCUCCAAUAGCGUACGUUAAAGUUGCUGCAGUUAAAAAGCUCGUAGUUGAACGUUCGGGUUCCGCGGGACGGGGCCGCCCCGCGAGGGACGGCGCCGCCCCGGGGCUCGUGAUAUCUUAUCUCGCCGCCCGUCGCGAGGCGGACGGAGGGGAUGGAUGAGGUUACCUGGAAAAAAAUCGGGGCGAUCUAGGCGGGCGAACCUCGCCAACGAACGAUCGGACAUGGGAUAACGGAAGAGGGGCGA
rnacentral:rRNA from 1 species